GAACGGCGAUCUAAGCGGUUGAUGGCGAUGGGAUCAAGAGUUGAUCAAGGAUCGAAUCAAGGAGGCUUGGAACCAAUUCAAGAGUUGAAGACCAAUUGAUUGAUUGACGUGCAUGUGCUUGUAAUACGACCUAAUUAGAAUCCAUGAUCAUCACCUAUUUAAAAUUUGGUUUUAUUUGAUGCUGCGAUUAUAACUGCCUGUGAUGUGCCGUUUGCAUGUGAUGUGAAUGAGAGCGGGGUAGAUAGGUUUACAUGUGAUGU
rnacentral:lncRNA from 1 species